CAUACCUCCACAGUAACCUAACGUCAUCCAUCUGAACUGAAGAGCAGCCCAGCAUGAUGGAAACUAUACCUGGUACUGGACACCUAGCCAGCUACUCAGGGCUGGUGAAGUCAUGGAACUUGGAGGAGAACCUACAACCUCCACUUUACUAACCCAGCAUCAUCCCUCACUACACUAAAUAUCUGUCCUCACACCCACGAGAACCAAACACGCUACACAUCAUCUGGCCUCUGAGCUCUUCCUCUGCAGUCUUGAUGGAGACCUCAGUCAUCCCACAGCUCUUGCAUGCCUGUAUAACCAGAGUCAUAUGGACUAGAUUCAUUCUACUCCUAUUUGUGACUACACCUUUAAAGUUUCACUUGGAAAGUUAAGCUGGUUGGAGCAGCACGUUAAAAAUAAAAAGACACAUGAAAAAAAUAUUUUUCUGAAGAGUUUAUACCUCCAUUCCAGCAUUUGUUUCCCAAGGAAAGUAUUCCAGCUUCUGAGGUACCAGCGAAUGCAGAUUGCCGAGGGAGAAAAGCAAUUAAACGGACAUAACCAGCUCCAGCCUCAGAUCCACAAUUACCAGCAUG